GGCCUCCUAGCUUAGUUGGCUAGAGUGUUGACUAUAUUAAAGCCUUCCCUUUGCUGGCGUGGGUUCGAAUCCCACUGAGGUUU
rnacentral:tRNA from 1 species